UUUGGGUAGGGGCUCAUCUUAGCCUUAAUAUAAAUCCCGACCCUCUUGAUUCUUCUCCAACCCAUGAUUUCAUUUUAUCAUUUGUAAUAAUUACUUAUUAAUUAAGCGAUCCCACGAAUGCAUUUAAAGAGGGUAAUUCUAUCUCUUUCUCUUUGAAUCGAUUGAAUCGAAUCCACUACUCCAUUAUCUCUAGGCUAUUCCUCCAUCAUCUAGUUUAAAAUGAUUGAGGGACCCUGAUUUUGAACCAAAACUUUUAGCCUUAAUGGGUAAAUUUUUCAUAAUAUCACCAUUAACAAGCUAAGAUAAAGCUUCAUACUUGACAAUCAAUUCGUGAAGCGCCAAGCUACAGUUUUUCUUGUCAAGGUUAGAAGAAAGAGAAUUCAAGAUUUGGUAAGCUUAAACACAAAAUCAAAGCUUCAAGAGGCAAAAGAAGUUAUUUUUCAUAAUUUCUUUACGAUCCAUGAUUGUUUUUGAUUUGUAAUAAUUUUUAUAGGUAGUUUAGAAUGUGUAAUAUUAAGACUAGAGCUCUGAUCAUGCAUGGAUGCUGCUUUUGAGUUUCAUUUAUUUUGUUGGAAUUGUAAAAAUCUGUUCUUGGAUCUGACAUCCAAUGGGUUAGAUUCUAGCAUUACU